UCAAUGGAAGGAGAGUGGUGAGAAGCGGAGAGGGCGGGAGACCUUUGGGUGGUGCGAAGAUGGCGUGGGAGGCGGUGAAAAAUAUGAACUUUUCCCAACUUUAUGCAAAUCACCAGCAGCGACCGCUGGGCGAUGACCAAUCAUAUCGAGAGAUUCCCAUGACGAAUUUGACACUAUGCGACCCAAGGCUGGAGACUUUCUUUCAGCAAAGAUGGCUGACAAAAAUACUAGGAUUGAAGCAAAUAUGGAUACUAUACCCUUUUCCCUACCCGUGGUGUUGGAAGAGGUUGUAUUGGGAGGAGGAUGCAUCAACACCCUGGAGAUAUGUUUGUGGUGCACUCACUCAUAACACUUUCUUUUAGUAACGAAUGAGUGUAAUGUCUUCAUGAUUGAUAAUAACCAAUCAGUUACAAGGCAAAAAUACAGAUUGAAGCCUUCAAUUAAACUGAGUGAGGACAGCGAAAAUAUGUAUACAUCAGACCAGUCAAGGCUUCUUCCAUGCAUGGGUUUGAGAUGUAAGUUACAUGCUAAAAAAUGCUGGGUUGUUUGGAUGACCCAAUUGCUGUGUGCUUUUCUAUAAAAACAGCAAGAUUGGGUUGCUGGUGCUGGGUUAUUAAGGUUGGGUUAUGGAUAUUUGACCCAGCCAGGGGGUUAAUUCCCCCGCCACCAGCCUGUGAAGUCCUCCAGAAUGUGAGCAAAUGGCGAGACGUGGCAACUUGCAAGACUUUUAGUGUGACUGAGUGGAAAACGGCUAACGUUAUUUUGACAGACUAAGGGUGUUUUGGCUGACAGAAAACCGUGAAAAUGGUAAGUAACAAACAUUCCGAAUUAUGAAUUUGAUGGUCAUUCAGGUUAAAUAUGUUGGUUGUCCUAUCAUCAUUUGGUAGCUAGCUAACGUUAGCUUAAGCGUUAACUAACGACCAUAAGCUAGCUAGCCAUUUUCUGUGCUAAUGUUCGCGACACUAGCUUACUGAAGUGUUGUUGCGGAAUACAGCACAGCUAAAUGUAUGUUUUUUUUGUCAACGUUUAGCUAGCUAGUUAACUUGGUCAGUGUCUAACGGUAGCUGGCUAAUUAUCUAACUAGUUAGCUGCAGCACCUUAACUAGCUAAGUUUGACACUUCUUCUGGACUGUCUUAGACACUGUUUCACUCGUUAGCUAACAUUAGUUAAGUUACCAUAUCUAGAUUUUACUUCUUAAUCAAGGUUAAUUUAAUCAAGCUAUUUGGCAGGUUGAUCUCAUGCUUGCAUGGUGAUUGAGUGAGUUACUGUACUGGUUUUCAAUGGUUUCUGACAGUGGCAGCUUUAGUCAGACGUGUGAGGUUGAGGAUGGAUGCAAAUUCUGUAAGCUAGCUGACGUUAGAGUUUACCGUAUGUUUGAUGUAGUCAACUUAGUAUAUCUAGCUAACUAUGUUUCUAACAUUAAUUCAUUUCUGUAAUGAAAUACAAACGUCAAGGCCAAUGGACAGCUUUGAAAAGGAUAUGAUGAAUGAGUGGAACCUGGCCUCUUUGAUUCCAAAGUUUGAGGAUAUUCUGUCACAGUGACCAACCUGACAUACAACACACACAUCACAGGCUGGGAGCAGCUGAUGGGCACUUAGGGGUAAAGUGCCUUGCUCAAGGGCACAACAGCAGUAUGUAGUAUACAGAGAUAUUGUAGCUGGUAACCCUCUGACUGCCGGAUCACUUGCUGCAGAUCUCCCUGCAGGAAGCUAGGGGUUCGAACCGAUAACUCGCCAGAAUCAACCUGCCUUUCUGGAAUCGGCCUGCCUUACUGUUUUAUUUCUCCUCAAUUUCAUGGUAUCCAAUUGGUAGUUAGUCCUGUCUCAUCGCUGCAACCCCCGUAAGGACUCGGGAGAGGCGAAGGUCGAGAGCCGAGCAUCCUCUGAAACACAACCCAGCCAAGCAGCACUGUUUUUUGACACAAUGCCUGCUUAACCCAGAAGCCAGCUGCACCAAUGUGUCGGAGGAAACACCGUACACCUAGCAACCGUGUCAGCGUGCAUUGCGCCCGGCACAGGAGUCGCUAGAGCGCGAUGGGACAAGAACAUCUCUGCCGGCCAAACCCUCCCCUAACCCGGACGGCGCUGGGCCAAUUGUGCCCCGCCCCAUGGGUCUUCCGGUCGCGGCCGGCUGCGACAGAGCCUGGACUCGAACCAGGAUCUCUAGUGGCACAGCUAGCACUGCGAUGCAGUGCCUUAGACCACUGCGCCACUCAGGAGGCCUGGCCUGCCUUGGAGGCUGUUUGUUAAUGCAAUAUUCACUCAUAAAUUGUGCAACAGUGUUUGAUUGGUUCUCUGAAAUUAGAAAAAAAUUGAGUUGAGAUUUUUGGGAUUUGAAAAUCCAACUUUUGUAAUAGUGGGCGGCGCUUGGGGUCUGGGUGUGGCAGUGCGUGUGCAGGGGCGAUUUUAGCAUGUAAAUCUUGGUGGGGCAAACUCCCCUCGAAAAUGUUAGAUGUAUGCCAGCAAAGCCACUACACAACACUAAACAAUACAUGAAUUGCACUACAACGGUGCCCACAAACUGUUAUGCCUAACAUAAAGCUGUCCCAACAACAGAGCUUUCUUUUCAGCACCAUGGAGUGAAUCCUUACAACCGCUACACCUGGCUAUCAGCAGAGCCUUGUCUGGGAGCAAAACAGUUAAUUCAGCCUCAUUUACUGCCUUUAACAAAGUCAAAGAGGUCUCUUUCAGAAAUAUCCAUAAGUAUUACCCUGAAGGAACCCAAAAUAGACAUGAACAGUAACUGUACAUUUUGUGUUGAGCAUCCAGAAACAGUUUUGUAUUCAUUUUGGCUUUGUCUACAUGCAAAGAAAUGAUGUCAAGAUAUUUAUAGUUUUAUAAUUGUUAAUAUUCUUGAUGACUUUUGUUUAUUAUGGGAGAAUGUGCUGCUCGGUUUCCUUAACUAUAAUAAGGAUAAAGAAAAACUAUUUUACAUCUUAAACCUCUUACAUCUAGAUGUUCCGCUAGCGGAACACCGCUCCAAUAUCCAAUGAUAGGGCAUGGCGCGAAUUACAAAUUCCUCAAAAAUCCAAAACCUUCCAUUUUUCAAACAUAUGACUAUUUUACACCAUUUUAAAGACAAGACUCUCCUUUAUCUAACCACAUUGUCCGAUUUCAAAAAGGCUUUACAACGAAAGCAAAACAUUAGAUUAUGUCAGGA